UACGUAGGGGGCUAGCGUUGUCCGGAAUCAUUGGGCGUAAAGCGCGUGUAGGCGGCCCGAUAAGUCCGCUGUGAAAGUCCAGGGCUCAACCCUGGGAUGCCGGUGGAUACUGUCGGGCUCGAGUCCGGAAGAGGCGAGUGGAAUUCCUGGUGUAGCGGUGAAAUGCGCAGAUAUCAGGAGGAACACCAAUGGCGAAGACAGCUCGCUGGGACGUGACUGACGCUGAGACGCGAAAGCGUGGGGAGCAAACAGG
rnacentral:rRNA from 1 species